CGAGGGGUAACAGAUCUUCGGAUGCUGACGACCGGCGAACGGGUGAGUAACACGUAUGCAACUUACCCAUAACUCGGGAAUAGCCCAAAGAAAUUUGGAUUAAUACCCAAUAAUACAGGCGUACCGCAUGGUAUUCUUCGUUAAAGAAUAAUCGGUUAUGGAUAGGCAUGCGUUCUAUUAGGUAGUUGGUGAGGUAACGGCUCACCAAGCCGACGAUGGAUAGGGGAACUGAGAGGUUGUCCCCCCACACUGGUACUGAGACACGGACCAGACUCCUACGGGAGGCAGCAGUGAGGAAUAUUGGUCAAUGGACGAAAGUCUGAACCAGCCAAAUCGCGUGAAGGAAGAAGGUAUUAUGUAUCGUAAACUUCUUUUGUAAGAGAGUAAAGUGCACUACGUGUAGUGUAUUGCAAGUACCUUACGAAUAAGCAUCGGCUAAUUCCGUGCCAGCAGCCGCGGUAAUACGGAAGAUGCAAGUGUUAUCCGGAUUUAUUGGGUUUAAAGGGUGCGUAGGUGGUCUAAUAAGUCAGUGGUGAAAUCUCUUUGCUUAACAAGGAAAUUGCCAUUGAAACUGUUAGACUUGAGAAUGGACGAGGUAGGCGGAAUUCGUAGUGUAGCGGUGAAAUGCAUAGAUAUUACGAAGAACUCCAAUAGUGUAGACUGCUUACCAGACCAUAUCUGACACUAAGGCACGAAAGUGUGGGUAUCAAACAGGAUUAGAUACCCUGGUAGUCCACACAGUAAACGAUGAAUACUAACUGUUUGCGAUAUACAGCAAGUGGUCGAGCGAAAGCGUUAAGUAUUCCACCUGGGAAGUAUGCCGGCAACGGUGAAACUCAAGGAAUUGACGGGGGCCCGCACAAGCGGAGGAACAUGUGGUUUAAUUCGAUAAUACGCGAGGAACCUUACCCGGGCUCGAACGAUAU
rnacentral:rRNA from 1 species